CCUACGGGUGGCAGCAGUAGGGAAUAUUGCGCAAUGGGCGAAAGCCUGACGCAGCAACGCCGCGUGAAUGAGACGGACUUCGGGGUGUAAAGGUCUGUUAGUGGGGACGAAAAAUGACGGUACCCACAGAGGAAGCACCGGCUAACUCCGUGCCAGCAGCCGCGGUAAUACGGAGGGUGCAAGCGUUGUCCGGAAUCAUUGGGCGUAAAGAGUUCGUAGGCGGCAUGGAAAGUCAGGUGUUAAAGGCGCAGGCUCAACCUGUGUAUGGCACUUGAUACUUGCAAGCUGGAGUGCGGUAGAGGUAAGGGGAAUUCCUGGUGUAGCGGUGAAAUGCUUAGAUAUCAGGAGGAACAUCGGUGGCGUAGGCGCUUUACUGGGCCGUAAUUGACGCUGAGGAACGAAAGCCAGGGUAGCAAAUAGGAUUAGAUACCCGGGUAGUC
rnacentral:rRNA from 1 species